rnacentral:rRNA from 1 species
UACGGAGGGUGCAAGCGUUAAUCGGAAUUACUGGGCGUAAAGCGUGCGCAGGCGGUUUGUUAAGUCUGCUGUGAAAUCCCCGAGCUCAACUUGGGAAUUGCAGUGGAUACUGGCAGGCUGGAGUAUGGUAGAGGAAGGUGGAAUUCCCGGUGUAGCAGUGAAAUGCGUAGAGAUGUGGAGGAAUACCGAUGGCGAAGGCAGCCCCCUGGGAUAACACUGACGCUCAUGCACGAAAGCGUGGGGAGCAAACAGG